GAUGAACGCUGACAGAAUGCUUAACACAUGCAAGUCGAUUCGAAGUUCCCUUCGGGGAAUGGAGGAUGGCGGACGGGUGAGUAACGCGUAAGGAACUUGCCUUUUGGCCUGGGACAACUGUUGGAAACGACAGCUAAUACCGGAUAUUAUGAGAUUCUCGCAUGGGAAACUUAUGAAAGCUAUAUGCGCCAAAAGAGAGCCUUGCGUUCCAUUAGCUAGUUGGUGGGGUAACGGCCCACCAAGGCGACGAUGGAUAGCCGGCCUGAGAGGGUGAACGGCCACAAGGGGACUGAGACACGGCCCUUACUCCUACGGGAGGCAGCAGUGGGGAAUAUUGGACAAUGGGCCACAAGCCUGAUCCAGCAAUUCUGUGUGCACGAUGAAGGUUUUCGGAUCGUAAAGUGCUUUCAGUUGGGAAGAAGAAAGUGACGGUACCAACAGAAGAAGCGACGGCUAAAUACGUGCCAGCAGCCGCGGUAAUACGUAUGUCGCAAGCGUUAUCCGGAUUUAUUGGGCGUAAAGCGCGUCUAGGCGGAAAAGAAAGUCUGAUGUUAAAAUGCGGGGCUCAACUCCGUAUUGCGUUGGAAACUGCUUUUCUAGAGUACUGGAGAGGUGGGCGGAACUACAAGUGUAGAGGUGAAAUUCGUAGAUAUUUGUAGGAAUGCCGAUGGAGAAGUCAGCUCACUGGACAGAUACUGACGCUAAAGCGCGAAAGCGUGGGGAGCAAACAGG
rnacentral:rRNA from 1 species